UAAGCUGAACUGUGUGUUGUGAGUUCGGCUUUAACCAGGUACAAGUGAACGCCUCAUGAAAUGGCUUACACCCACAUACCCAGUAAAUUACACACUUUGAUGUUCUGCUCCUUCUCCUGACGGUCACGGUAACGAUGUCUGCGCCUCCGUUUCUGUGGAUGUCCAGCGUAAGACACAACUUGAAUCCAACCAGACUGAACACUGACUCCAGGGACGGACGAGCCUGAAGGACACAGCUGUGAUGACCAAUUGACCAAGUUUUGUCUCUUAUGGCAAAGCAGAAAUAUUAAACACUGGGUUCUUAUCUAAAGUGUAUCAAAUCAGAAAGCAAAAGAUACACAUUGUUGUUAUAAGUUUUUAUUAUUUUAACCAACCAUAAUGAAGAUAGAAAUGAAUUCUUAUCCAUGCCACUUAGCAAUGACUGCCACCACCAAACAGUUGCAGGCCAUCUUUAUUUAAGGGAGGAAUUUAGAAGUGUUGUGUAGCUUCUGAUGAUGAUGCAGUCGUCCACGUGUUGACCACCAUGUUGCUGCUGACGACGUCAGGUGCUGCAGUUCCUCAUCUAUGAAGAGAAGAAACGCACUGUUAAAGAAUGUUUUGAGUUGUGUAUGAAGCACAACAGAUUUCAGAUAGAACUGUUGUACUGUGGUCUGGGUUUGUAUCCUAAUGGUUAAAUGCACAUAUUUUAAGUCGCUUUUGAUAAAAGUACUGAAAGAAAUACAACAUUGUAAAAAUAGAUAAAAUGUCUUUCUACCUCAUCUGUAAUAUUCAAGGUGAUAAUCUCCCACAGAGCUAUUGAUAACAGUCCACAUCAAGUCUCUCCACUUCCCUCAGUGUGAAAACAUAAUUAUAUAAUUAAUGUGAGAACUGUUUACAACACUGAUGUGUGGACAUUAUAAUCUUAUCUAUACUGUCUAAUUGACUCUACAACUCCAUGACAGACUAAAUUAACGAUGUGAAAAUAGUAAUGGUGGAUAUAUCAGCCUGUAUCAGAAUAAUGGUGAAACAUAGUUAUUAUCACAUGCAACUUACACAUGUAGCUGUUGAUAUUAACUUAUUAAAAUAAAACAAAGUCACAGCCAAACAUACGACUCUGCAGUUAACUUGCUUCAAUGUGUUCAUUAGACGUGUUAAAUAAACUAACUUUUAUAACAAUUUUAUAUUAAAAAAGCCUUGAGGCAUGUAAGUAUAUGGUGCUAGUUAAAGCAAUAGGUUUGGUUGUAUGGUUUCAAGGUUACUUACCUCUAGUUCAUAGAGCCUCCUGCUGGCUACAGGAAGUGAAGCAAUAAUCCUUGCCGCAGUGCACAAACGCAUGCAACGCAGAGACGAGCGCUUGGUCAUUGAACGUUCUCUCUUCACCGACCGCAACAGAAUAGAAAUUGCCUGUGCUCGGGCCCGUUAG